rnacentral:rRNA from 1 species
UGGGGAAUUUUGGACAAUGGGCGAAAGCCUGAUCCAGCAAUGCCGCGUGUGUGAAGAAGGCCUUCGGGUUGUAAAGCACUUUUGUCCGGAAAGAAAUCCUUGGCUCUAAUACAGUCGGGGGAUGACGGUACCGGAAGAAUAAGCACCGGCUAACUACGUGCCAGCAGCCGCGGUAAUACGUAGGGUGCAAGCGUUAAUCGGAAUUACUGGGCGUAAAGCGUGCGCAGGCGGUUUGCUAAGACCGAUGUGAAAUCCCCGGGCUCAACCUGGGAACUGCAUUGGUGACUGGCAGGCUAGAGUAUGGCAGAGGGGGGUAGAAUUCCACGUGUAGCAGUGAAAUGCGUAGAGAUGUGGAGGAAUACCGAUGGCGAAGGCAGCCCCCUGGGCCAAUACUGACGCUCAUGCACGAAAAGCGUGGGGGAGCAAAACAGGAUUAGAUACCCCUGGUAGUCCACGCCCUAAAACGAUGUCAACUAGUUGUUGGGGAUUCAUUUCCUUAGUAACGUAGCUAACGCGUGAAGUUGACCGCCUGGGGAGUACGGUCGCAAGAUUAAAACUCAAAUGAAUUGACGGGGUCAUAGUGUUUCCU